AUACGGAGGAUCCGAGCGUUAUCCGGAUUUAUUGGGUUUAAAGGGUGCGCAGGCGGCCAUUUAAGUCAGCGGUUAAAUCGUGGGGCUCAACCCCAUUCUGCCGUUGAUACUGGGUGGCUUGAUUGCGGUCGAGGUUGGCGGAAUUCGUUGUGUAGCGGUGAAAUGCAUAGAUAUGACGAAGAACACCGAUUGCGUAGGCAGCUGACCAGACCGCAAAUGACGCUCAUGCACGAAAGUGCGGGGAUCGAACAGGAUUAGAUACCCUGGUAGUCCGCACAGUAAACGAUGAAUACUUGUUUUCGGCGAUAUAAUGUCGGAGGCAAAGCGAAAGCGAUAAGUAUUCCACCUGGGGAGUACGCCGGCAACGGUGAAACUCAAAUGAAUUGGCGGGU
rnacentral:rRNA from 1 species